UCCUACCUCAUGGACUAUUAGGUUCUUUCUGAUUCCCCCUCCAGCAUCACCAUUACUAAUGGUAUGGUCCUUAGCAUCAGGUCCUUUUUGUCCCCCACUGGUCUACUGAGCAGACUUGACGCAGCUUCAUCUCAUUUCGGAUGCACCAUGAGCCCCCAACCCCCACUCAGCAGUGCCUUACUCCUGUGUGAGCACUAGAAACUGGACCAAGUGGGGUGAAAAUGGCCAGAAAUUGCUUUUGAUCCCUUUAUAUCUUUUAUGACUAAGAACAAAAAAAUCAUUUCUGACCAGUUAAAAAAUCCAUCUGAGCCAGUUUCAGAUAACUGUGCAGAGCUGGAGCCUGAGGUCAGUGAACCCAGGAAGAUGGCUGAAGACCAUGCUGACUCAAGCCCAGACAAGGAGCCAGAUUUCUUGGAUUCCAGAUUCACUUCUUCAACUUUACCCUGGACCUGUGGCGACUGGAAACCUUGAGAUGUGGACAAAGAAGAGCAUGGCAAAGAUUUUUGUUGUGGUGCUCCGUGAACAAGAUGGAGGAACUAUGAGUCAGCACUGCUUUUCUAGUUAGAUUCUAAAUAGGUUUUUUUAAUAAAGUUAAGGAUGACCUUGAACUUCUGAUCCUUCUGCCUCUGCUCCUAAGUGCUGGAGGAUCAAAGGUGUGUGCCACCAACUGCUGAGGAUUGAACUCUGGACUUUGUGCUUGCUAAAGAAGCACUCCACGAGCUGAACAACAUCAAUAGCCUUGUAUGUUGCCCUCUUCUCUUCCCAGAUGAGAAAACUGGGGCUCAUAGAGAUUCUGAGACUUGCCCAAAGCCAUGCAGCUAGUUCACAGUGAGGCACAGAAUCAGUUCUAGAAGCACCUCAGGAAAUUCGGAUACAUUUUGUGGCCUGGAGAGAUCACCUCCCUCACCAUCUUACUUAGUGCCUGUCAGUCAUCAAUCUCUAGCUUCCCUGUGACCCUGCUCCACCACAGAAUGCAGCUACUGAGGGGCUUAAGAACCAGCACCUUCAUGGAGUUGCAAAGCCGUAUAUCAUAUGUCCUGUGUUCAUGCUGUCCACCCUCUUCCAUAUAUUCUCCAACACUUAACCCUACAGCCGUGACAGAAGGCAAGAUUGAAAGGUGUGUCCUUGCAGAAUAACAUGUUUCUCAGAAGCCUUAUCACAGAAGUCAUUGGCCAGGUAGGCCACUUCUAUCCUGUUUGCUGGCAGCGUUCCUCCAGUUUCCAGUACUACUAUCCACUGGAGACUGGGCAGGACUGGGAAGCAGCUGUCCCUAGCAGAAGGACUGCAUUAGGAAACACUUCACUUGGAAGUUAAGGUAAGAAAAAAUCAGGCAAGAAAAGAGUAUGUUCUUGGGUUCCAAAACAACUAUAAAGUCACUUUUCCCAAAAGGUACAUUGCAUUAUUUCUUGGACUGUUGUAUUAUGGGGGUGGCAGUGGGAGUGGAGCUAGGAUGAGUAACAGUUUUGGAACAUGAAGCUCUACAGUUUUUCCAUUUUCUGUCUAGCUGAGAUGGAAUUAAAGAAAAAAAAUUAAAACUACCUCAAGAAUCUCCUCCAGAACAUUUUUAGUUCUAUUACCUUGGGAAAGAAUCUAAUAAGUCCAAGUUUAAUCUUUUUCCUUGUGAAAACUCAGGCUUUCCGUGCUUCCUAUGAUGUGAUGAGUUUCAUGAGCUUAAAGUGAAAGAGAAUAUUCAUCCAGUGCCCUGAUUUCUUUCCUUUUCCCUUCUUUUCUUUCCUUUACUCCUUGUUGUUCACUUUACGUAAAGACAUCUUGGGAAUAUGGCUAAUAGUCAUAAAAGAAUGUAGAUGCCACAGAAUGAAGCAAUCUUAAGUGGGACAUGGAUGAGAGCAUAAUAGAAUACAUGUGAUUUUAAAGAGCAGAAUAGGGGACUAUGUGGGGAAAGGAAGAAAAUCAGCCAGAAGAGGCAGGAAACAAGGGGUAGGGAAGUGGAUGAGGGGAACAAAUAAGAAAAAAAGUGUAAUUAUACUUAAGAAAAUGACAUAAUGAAGCCCAUUACUUAAUAUGCUAAGUUAAAAAUCUAAUUAAAUGAGACUGACCUAAGCUCUCUGCACACACGUUACAAUUGUGUAGUCUGAUCUUCUUGUGGGUCUCCUAACAGUGAGAGCAAGAGCUGUCUCUGACUGUGUUGCCUGCCUUUACGACCCUAUCCCCUUACUGGGUUGUCUUGUCUAGCCUUAAUAAAAGAGGAGGUGUCUGGUCUUACUGAAAGUUGAUAUGCCAUGGCUGGUUGAUAUCCAUUGAGGCCAGCCUUUUCUGAAGAGAAGUGGAGAAGGACUGGAUUGGGGGUUGAGGUGGAAGGGGGGAGACUGGAAGAAAAUGAAGGAGGUGAAACUACAGUCAGGGUAUAAAAUAAAAAAAAUUAAAAGAAAAAAGAGAUAGUUCCAAUAAAUAGAUAAAUAAAUUCUGAAACUAAAAGAAACAAACACUUAAUUUAAAAAAUAAUGUAAAUGUUGACAAUAUACUGUGUGAGUUCAAAUAUUAGCUCAGAUACUUACAAGCUCUACAGCAAUAGAUAACCUACUUAAUUUUCAUAUACCUCAAUUUCCUUGAUUGUAGAUAAUAAGAUAUCUCUUUUGGAUUUAUUGGGUUGAUUAAAAACAUGUCUUGGUCUUCCUCUUUAUAGAUAGACAUAUAGAUAGAACCAAUGUUUGAAUGCUCUGUUCUCAUUAGGUCAUGGGGAGAGGAAAUGGAUAACGUGGUUUCUUAUAGCCCCUUUCAAAUGAAGAAUUCUGGGUCUUUUAGAAAAAUCUAGUUUGGAACUAACAAGAUAGCUCAGAUGGGUUACAGUGCUUGAUACUAAGCCUGACAACCUCACUUUGAUCCUUAGGAUCCAUAUGGUAGAAGGAAAGAGCUAACUGCUGUAUGAUGUCCUUAAACCUCCACCCAUAUGUUUCUUCCCACAAAAAAUAAGUAAAACAUAAUGCCUUUUUUUAUUAGAAAAAUCCACAUUUUGCUUCUAGAUAUUUAUUUAAAAUUUUUCAGAAUUGAUUAUAUAUAACUCUGUGCUAUAACAUUUGUGUGCUAUUCACAAGGCCCUCAGUAACCCCAAACACACACACACAUACACACACACACACACACACACACACACACACACACACGGGAGAAAGAAAGAAGGGAAUAAGAAUGGAAGGAAUUGUUCAUUGGUGAUUUACCUUGAAUACCUAAAAGAGUUCUGCAUCUGGUCUAUGGUCUAUGACACAGCACAUUUUCAUGGGAGUGUCUUGAAAUGAAGAAAGAAUGAAUUACAGAACUUUAUAUACUACAGAUUCUAUCAAUUACAAGAGCUUUAAAAAUCUCUUGAGGCUCAGUAUAUUCUUAUAAUAGUGAGAGGUGAUGGCAUAUGUGACACAUACCAUGUAGUGGAGAGGGAGGGAGCUCAGCUAGAAGAAAAACUGGAUUUAAAUUUCAGCUUUGCUAUGCACCACUUACGAAUAGACCAGUUGCUGCAAUUCUUAGUCCUCAUUAUUCGUUAAAAUCUGGCUCAUGAUAUUUUUGACACGUCUUUCUACAACAGUGACACCUCGCACUGAGGUUUUUUUUUUUGUUUGUUUGGUUGGCUGGUUUUUGUUUUUGUUAAUUCUGUGUUAUUCAAAUUGCAGGGUGGACCCUACCUUGGCCUAAGAUUUUUGGGAAGCAAGUGAAGUGUAGGAUCUGGGGUACUCACAUUGCUAGGCUGUUGCACAUGGUUAUCCUAUCGUACCUAGGCCUAAGUUUGAGAGGCAGUGUAAGUUUAUGAAUUGCUGGACAUUCAAUUGCUGGUUGACAGGUUGCAUGACACCAGCAAUCUUUGGACAAGGCUACAGUAGGUCUUAUAUGCUAUCUUAGGGAUCCUUCAGAAUGGGACAUUGCAUGGGCAUCCUGACCCAAGAUAGGCCUCGAGUAAGGGAACCCUGCUGUCAGACAGGGUUAUGGGUUAUUCUCCAUGACAGAAUAUUACUAACGUUAAGGAUAACAGCUUGCCCUGGCUUUAUUAGGUGUCAGGAGUCCUUUGUGAUUCUUUGUGUUUCUUUAGCCUGUGGUGGUAUGCAUACUACAUCAACUAAGCCUUGGUAUGAGCUUAUUAAGGGAACGAUAAGGUCAGGUCAACUACCAGAGCCCUUGGGUUAUAACACUGGUUCUCGACCUGUGGGUCACAACAAAGAAAAAAUUAUCUAAAAACACAAAUAUUUUCAUUAUGAUUCAGAACUACAGUAAAAGUAAAGUAACAAAGUAUCAAUGGAAAAAUAUGGUUGGGGCUCAUCACAACAUGAGGAACUAUAUUAUCGGUUGCAGCCUUAGGAAGGUUGACAAAUCAGUGUCUUUUGGUAACAGAGAAGUUGGGAUAGAUUUUGGUCACGCUUGGUAAAUGUAAGUACAUAUGACCCCUGAAAAACCUUCAUCCCGGUGAGUAUGCACAGUGUGGUAGAGGAUUACCUGUGUUACUCACUAGACUUUGGUGUUGCACAGGCUUUUGUACCCUCAUCAGGCAUUCAUAGAGUAUGGGGAUCGCAUGGGUGAAUGAAAAGCUAUACACACUCUUGCAGGUUAAAAUGAGUGUGAGCAACAGCAUUCCUGAUGUUUCUGGGAUGACUAAAAUUUGUGAAAUGGAGAGACAAAAGAACAUCACCUGACUGGCCAGGAACACAAAACUGAUCAACACCAUCAAGUCCAGGGAGUGAUGGGCAGAACCAAGGAGGAUGGAUUGAGGUCACCCCAUAAUUUGUGUUGGUGAAAUGGUUGUGGGACCCCUUCUAAUCCUGGGAAGGGUGGACUGCAUGAGCAUGAAGAGAUCUGGGCCUCAAAGCUGGCUGAUGUGAUGCCCAUGUGGGACCUCAGCUAGGCACCUGACUUUGGUGAUGGGCUGCAAAUGUCUAUGUUGGUCUCACUUCAUUGGACUGGCACAAAGAAUCUCUGUUCUUAGCUUGGCCCUGCCUUAUGAAGUCUCAGCCAGGCAUGUGGAGACUGGAGCAGUCCCUUGCUAGUCUAGUGCACAAGGUAUGCAAAUCCAUCUAGAUCUGAAGGUAUAUGAACAUGGCCUGUGAAGGUAUGUCUGUGUAAUUCACAUUGCAGAGUUCAAACAUAGGCUGUGGACCUUACCAUGGUAUGGGAUUUGGGGAAGCCUGUGCAGUUGAAGAUCUGGGCUAUUCACCUUGCUGGACUGUUGAAUAUGUGACACAAAUCUAUGGAGUCAUAAAUAAUCUGGACCACUGUGGGAAGAUAAAGUUCUGUAGAACUCAUAAGGCUCAGCUCAUGUGCAGGCUGUUUGACCCAAACUAUGUAUGGCAGUACCAAGAAAGUAGGGCAUCUGUACCAUGUUAUACAGUCACCAGGAUGGGAUGUUGCAUGGGUAUUUUGAUUUCACAUUGACCAGAACUGCAGGAUGCUUUAAAACAGUAUGAGAUUACGUCACAUUUUGUGAAGAUCUGGUAUGCAGACUACAAAUCACCAGCUGGUCAUUGGAUGUGCAGAAGCUGUGGGCUCCUGUGGGCAUGCUGUUUUGCUCACUCUGGCUUGUGGUGUUGUGCAGAGUGCUAUAUCAACAAGGCCUUGGUGUAAGCCAGGCUGGGGAAACAAUGGGAUCAGGGGGAACAACCUGGCUUUUUUCUCUAAGAAUGUGUUGGAAGACUCUGGUUUUUAAGGUCACAGUCAACCAUGUCUGGACUGCUCUCCCAAGCCUGGUGCAGAAUGCAUGACUCCCUUUCUUCACAGGGGGCUUCUUUCUCUCCCCCUGAAUUCGCUGGAAGGGUUUCUAGGAAACACCUCCCUCUACCCUUGAGGGAGGUCAAAGAGUCCAUAGCCAAAAAUGCAGGUUCACUUCCUUUCUCCUCAUCAGAACCUGGCCAACAAAUAUCUGGAAUUCCCAGAAUAUAUAGCAUUCCCAGCACCUCAAGCUUCAGUCAAUAGUAUACAUGUACCCUGGGAAUCCCUUACCUAUACCCCUUUGUUCACUGUGAAUCCAGUUGAGCAGUGAUCUUGAAGCUACUUCCAGAAUGUUGUUCUGUCAUUCUCAAGGGCCAUCUGAACACCUGAACAUUCCCCCUCCCCAGCCCAUUGCCUCUGAUCACUUAGUUCUCAUGUAACAACUGGCACCCAAACAGGGACACCGGAAUGCACAGGAUUUGUGAGUACUCCUUGAGAGGGUAGCAGCAUUUGUGUGUGUGUGUGUGUGUGUGUGUGUGUGACCAUCCUACCUGAGGACCACUUGUUUAUUUUAUCUUCUUUGCUUUACUUUCUCAGUUUGUGCCUUCACCGGGGACCUGAUACAUUUUGAGGACAACUGAAGCCUUUGGAUCAGGGCUGCUCCCCAAUAUUGGCCUCCUACCUUCUUUCUGAGCCCCAACAACCCAGCUGGGUGUAGGCAAUAAUCUUUUUGUCAUAAAGAACUUGGUGAUGCAGCAGCCAUUUAAAAGUCCAUAGGAAGGUUGCCAGGCUUGUUCUUGUUACAGUGUCUCAAUCCCCAGGUGGCAAAAUUGCCUCAGGAACAUUGAGUGUCUCUGGCAGAACUUCCUCCCUUUCUUGUCGUGGAGAAUUCAACAUCACACCAGAGGGAUUUACAAAUUUGUUUUCUUAGAACCUUACUUAAAUCAAGAGGACUUAAAAUCUCCCAAAAGGAAGGUCUGGUAUUCUGGAAUAAGGUACUUCAAUUUGCACCAUGGGUCCUGUAGGCAGAUAUCUACAACCCAGAUGUCUAGAUCCGAGUUGCCUAUCUGGCUCAUAAAAGAAGAAGGCUGUCCAGGAAGGCUGUCUUCAUCCUUCUUCUUCUUCUUUCAGUAAUAGCUACUAUUAGGCAAUGCAUCGGAAAACAAAACAAAACAAACAAAAAAAACCAAGCCUUAAUAACCCAUUAGAGAAAAAAAAAAAACAAAAAACAGGAGGAAAAAAGACAAGAUUCAAAGAUUCAAAUAAGGAGGAAGACCCUGUGGAUUGUUCAGUAGCUGAUUUGGCCACUUUAGAGAACACAAUUGAUCUAAUCAAAGAAAAGUUACUCCUUAACCCACAACACCCCUUUUCCCCAUUCCUCUUUUCCUUCCUAUGAGUCUUCAUUGGCAACUGAGUAUAAAGACCUGGAAAUUAAGACCAAAGUUCCUAAAGACACCCAAAUAAGCCCUUCUCCAACUGGAACUAGCCAUGCACGACCUCCCCCAGCCAUUGAGCAACUCUAUAAUCUCAGAGAUGCUGGAAACAAUUACCCCCAGCCACCUUAGCCUCUAUGGCCAGGGAUCCAGAACCUCCCCCCAUAGGAACCUUUCCUGUUAAUCUACGCAUAACAAGAAAAUAUCCAGUGGCUUGGUAGCCUCUCCCAGUAGCAGACUUAUACGAGUGAUGCCAAGCUGUCCAUGAGGAUGAAUUCAUUCCUAUUGGACCAAGUCUAUUUUAUAAAACUUCCAUAGCAACCUUUUAACUCCCCAAGACUAGAAAGAUAUAUGCUAGUCCACUUUCCCUAGUCCUCUGUAAAAUGGGAAGACCUGUUUAGAGAUGAAUGUCAGAUGCGGCCUAGAAAAAAAAGAAUUAUGUAAUCAAUAAAUAAGACAAAACAAGAGCAAAAAAAGCUGUACUUCCAGGGUAACUUCUCUACAGGAAUUCAACAGGCCUUCCUCCCUCCUGGCUGCUUUAAGCAGGUUUGCUUAUGUGUACUUGACACUUGGAUCUGUUUGACCCUUGUCUACACAUCCUAGAGACCUCCUCACUGACUUUCCUAAAACAGAAACCAACUGAGACCCUCCCAGAUUUUAUACUAAGGGUGCAAGCCAAUUUAUACAGAAAAAUAACAGACCCUACAGCCAAAGUGAUGCUCCUAAAUAAUAUUAUCUGGCAAGGAAUGAUCCCAGAAUACAGGUAGGCAUACCAGGGACUAAAACAUAAACUAAUGAUAAAUGGAUCAUGGCUACCCACAACAUUGCAACUGCCUCAUACCAGGACUCCUAUCUUGCUCAAAACUUUGCAGCUGUAACACAGUCCAAUUUGCCGUGUUUUAAAUAUGGAGAGACCAGACACUGGAAGAGAGAUUGCCCAAAAAAUGACCAGCUUCACUUAAACCUCCUAAAUCCGUCCCCACUGCAGGAAAGGCUUUCAUUGGAAAAAUAAUUGCAAUUCCAAAUAUGAUAAAGAAGGCAAGUCCCUUCUACCUUUAAACUCCUUGUGGGGCAACCCUCAGCCCCACCAGUAAGACAAAAAACAAACAAACAACAACAAACAAACCCACAAGUCCAGUGGGUCACUAAAAUAUUAGAAAAAGCUCAUCCUAAAUUCUCAAUAAAAACUGACAGUAAAAAAAACUUUAAAUACCUGAUAGAUACAGGAGCAGAUAAGACCAUCCUAAUAUGAAGUCCUCCCACGUUGAACUCUUACUAGGACCUCAACUAAUGGAAGUAGGAGAUCUUCCCAAACAUUUAUUACCCAUGACUUUUAUAAAUGGGAAGACCCAGAUAGAAUAAAUGGGACUAUUAGACCCCUAACGGCUGACAUGGUCACUAACUUACUAGGUAGAAAUAUCUUAGAAGUUUUAAAUGUGGUCUUUUCUACUAGGGAACAGGGAGAAUUUCUCCAGAUAGAAGACUACCAGAAAAAUUAAGAUCAAAAGAAUUCCCAAUUAGAAUGGUCCACUGUUGAAUACCUGCCUGGAAUAGAUCAUGGAAGAUUUCAUCUGGGUGAAAUAGUAGCCUCUAAACAGGGAGAAAUUAAUAAUUUUACAACAAUUAGUUAAACACCAAUUAGACAUGGGGCACACUGGUCCCUCUAGGAACCUUUUGGAAUACCACAGUUUUUUUUUUUUUUUUUUUUUUUUUUUUUAAUUAAAAGGAAAAACAAGACCUGGAGGCUCUUCCAGAAUCCAAGACUAUGAAAAUUUGGGGGUCACCUCAACACAACUUCCCCCUUGCCCCAUAAAUACCCAUUACUAGUUUUAGACAUUAAAGAUUGCUUCUUUUCAUUUCCACUCCAUGAACAAGAUUGAAAGUGCUUUGUCUUCUCAGUACCUAAAGUCAAUAACUCAAGACUAGCUAACAGGUUUGAAUGGAGAGUACUCUCCCAAGGCAUGGCUAACAUCUCGACUAUUUGCCAGGAAACUGUAGCCCAGGCAUUAAAACACCUUAUUAAAUCAGGUCCCCAUACAUAUCAUUACAUGGAUGACCUAUUAAUGUGACAAGAUUAAAAAGACAAGAUCAAAAACUAGCUUUAGAAGAUCUUAAACAGGCCACAAAGGCCCUACCUAAAAGAUAGAGGCUUUACUAUAGCAGAAGGUAAGAUCCAGCUCUUAACACCCCCCCACCCAUAACAUUCCUAGGGACCAAAAUUACCCAAACCUCAGGCUGGCCAGCUAAACUGGCUGUUGACUUCCCCGAUCUGUUAACCUUAAAUGUCCUUCAAAGCUUCGUAGGCGGUAUCAGUUGGCUUAGAUCUUGACUUCCCAUACCGACCAGCCAAUCACAGUCUCUAUUUGACUUACUUAAGGACAACAAAGCCCCCUCCUCUCCUUGCUCCUUGACACCAGCAGCCAAGGAGGCCCUUUAUUUUAUUUACCACAUUAAAAAUAUCUUCCUGGCUUGCUAUAAUCUACCACCAGACACCCAAUUAAACCUGGCAUUGUUCACACUUGAUGUGUUAAAUAUCUAUGCUACCCAGAAUGAACCUUCCAUUGUUCAACACAGAAGUCAGCCAACACAUACCACCCAUUCUGGUCAGGGGGAAGGACCCACUUGACAGGUGUUGGAGGAGGCCCGACUCCCUGCUAACAAUAGGAAGGGGCUUUGUUUGUGUCUUUCCACAGGACCAGCCUAGGCCUAUUUGGGUCUUUUCCAGCAAUGUCCAACACCACCCCACCAACCAAGAAGUUGGCCCAGCUCUCACUGAUAGAUGAUCAAGGAUGAAAAAGAUUAAAGAGAUACCUUUCCUUCCCCAAAGAAACAACAAGCUCUACUGGAAGGACAUCCGUGACCUAGUGGCAGCUGCCAGGGCAUGUGCUCUCCACAGGCUUCCCCUUCCUUUAUUCUUAUGGCUGUCUGUUAUUCUUCAUUGUAACUCUGCUACUGCCCAGCCUCUUUCUUAGUCUCCCAAAACCCAUCACUGGAGAUUCUUUGCUAGGGAGAACUACAAUGAACACAACAAAGAUAUUAGAAACUAGGACUGCCCACUUGAAGGAUGCUGGACCAGGACUGAGAUCCCUCUAUACCCUGAAUCCAUCUCCACUAUCCCUAGCCCUUUCUUCUGCUGUCCUUACCAGAACACAGGGACUGCCUCCAGAUGGCCUUCAUGUAUGGAGGCUGCAGACUUUGGGGGUGCCAAAUUGAAUCACCAGUCAUGAUGAUACCACGCUCACCAACCUUAAAACUCAUUUGCAGCUUUCCAUUGUGCAACCUUGGGAUGAAUAAUGGUGGAUAGAAGUCAUGGAUAAGCACUACUCAGAUGGAUUUGCUAAAUAUCCAUAGCUGAUUUACACACCUCCUGCUAGUUUUUCCCCGCCUCUAGUCUUUACUCACAUUAACAUUCUUCAACAGGAAUAUCAAACUUGGAUGGAGUUCUAAACCACCUUUUCCUGACUACAGUACAUCCGAUGUACAGCCAACCUCCUUCCCCUAACCACCUACUCCAACUUCUCCUAUUGUUUCUUCUGUGCUUCCUUCUCCCAGCCACUAUUAGCAGCUGUUCCCAUUAAUGUCUUGCUUCCUGAACCCAACUGGACCUUAUUCACAGGGAAUUUACGAAGCUUUUCUCUCUUCAACCUACACCUCCCCCUUUGCAGGGCCCUCAUCAAGAUCCCACUCUACAUGUUCCUGUAACAUCACCGUCACCAAGCCAGUAUGUGCUAAUGGCCCAUGCCACCCCUAAUUACCCUCCCCUGCUCUUCUUUGGUGUGCAAUAACACUACUGAUUCUUUCAUUGAACCCCUUUCCAAGGUUUCUGCACCCCAUGAUUAUGGUUCCCCAGGUUUAUCUCUACGACCCUGAAGAACUCACUUUAUCGCUGCAAGGAGACCAAAAGAAAAGAGAGAUCUUCAUCCCUCUAUUGCUCAGACUGGGUCUUGCUGCCUAGUUGGGAGCCACCGGAACCCCUGGAGCAUCCCUUGUCCAAGCCUACCUUCUGGCCAGUGACUUCCAAGACAAACUUGGCUAGUCAAUGGCUUCUGCUCCAGACAGUCUUGAAUCCCUUCAAUGACAGAUAACCUCUCUAGCAGAGGUUACUCUCCAAAAUUGGAGAGCUUCAGACUUAAUGACUGCUGAACAAGGAAGGUCUUGCAUUGUGUUGGGGAAAGAAUGCUGUUUCUAUGUUAAUGAAUCUGGGCUGGGUGAAAUAGGACAUGUAUAUGCUCAAAGAUCUCCGACUGGAUCUCUGAACAUGCUAUGUACCCAAUAUACCAACCCCAUGGUACUCAAACCCUCUUGUGGCUUGGCUUCUCCCAGUACUGGCUAUCAAAUCCAUGCUCUUCCUGGCACACUGCCUCAUCCAAUUUUUUAAAUGUCAGAUAAGCAGCAUUGCAAAAAUCACUGUCAAUUGGGUUCUGGUUCGGUACCAAGCUGUUCCUAACAUAGAGACCAAGGAUCAUAAUUACACUUCUCCAUUAUAAAUAAAACAUGGAAAGAUGUUGGAAGACCCUGCUAUUUAAGAUCACAGGGGGCUUCUUUUUCUCUGCUAAAUUCACUUGGAGAGUGUCUCUAAGCAUGACCCCCCAGCCCUGAGGGAGGUCAUGUAUUCCAUGGCCAAACUUUUGGCCACGGCCAAAAGUUCCAGGUUCAACUUAUUUUUUCUCCUGAUAAGAAACUGCCAGACAAGUAUCUGGAAUUCUUGGUAGGUCAAAGACCCAGCCAAUAGCAUACACCCACCCUCUCAUGCACCUCACAAGAAUUGUAUAGCCUUUGUUCACCCUGAAUCAAGCUUGUCCUGGAAAGUUAUUCCAUUGUACUUGUGGGCCGUUCAAAACUCCCCUAUCCCUCACCUUUGCUCCCUUCACCCUCAUAGAGCAAUAUUGGCCAAUGAUAGAGAAGGUACGAUAGAGCCUAAGUUAUUCUCCAGGGUUGACAAGUGUAAGGCUGUAUGCCUUCACCAAAUCCUGUGUUCUGGGUGAAUAGAGACAAUGUGGUUGGGGAUUACCUGUGUCACUCACUAGACUUUGGUGUUUCAUAGGCUCUUGGACCCUAGGCAGGCAUUCUAGAGUGAAUGAAAAGAUACAGAAACCCUCGAAGGCUGCUCUGAGAGUGAGCAACAGCAGUCCCAAUGAUUCUGGGAUGAUUAAAAUUUGGUGAAAUGAAGAGACAAAAGAAAAUCAACUGACUGGUCAGGAACACAAAACUGAGGAACCCUAGCAAGGCCAAGGGGUGAUGGACAGAGCCAAGGAGGGGGGAUCAGGGUCACUCAUAUUCUGAGUUGGCAAAGUUGUUGUGUGUCCCCAUCUAGUCACGGGAAGGAGAAACUUUGCGUGAGCAUGAAGGGAUCUGGGCUUCAAAGCUGGCUGGUCUGAUGCAAAGAUGGCACCCAAGCUAGGCUAUCGGACUGUGGUCAUGGGCUGCAAAUGUCUGUGUUGGUCUUGGUCCGUUGGAUUGGCACCUAGAAUCUGUGUCCUCAGCUCGGCCCAGCACAGUAAGGUCAUGGCUGGGCACGUGGGGGACUGGAGCAUUCCUUUGCUGGUCUGGUGCACAAGGUGUGCCAGUCUAUCCAGAUCUGAGAGUAUGUGACCAUAGCCUGUCAGAGAAGCCCUGCAUUCUUCAGUUUUGUCAUGGGUUCCCAGCUUGGCCUAAGGGUUUCAGAUUGCAUGUGGAGUUGAGGAGCUGAGGCAGUCAUAUGUCUGUUCUGGAACACAUGAAGCCUGACCCCAUCUAGGCCUAAGAAUAUUGCAUGAUAGCCUCUUUUGAAAGAUAUCUUUAUUAACUCCACUUUAUUCCCUUUGUAUCCUAGCUAUAGCUCCCUCCCUCUUCCCCUCCCAGUCCCACCCUCCCUCCUUCAUCUCCUCCCAUGCCCCUUUCCAAGUCCACUGAUAGGGGAGGUCCUCUUCCCCUUCCCUCUGACCCUAUCUUACCAGGUCUCAUCAGGACUGGCUACAUUGUCUUCCUUUGGUAUUAUAUCAUAUUAAAAUAUGUCUGGUUAUGCAUGUUUUGUGCAGAAUCUAGGACCUGGUGUAUAUGGCCAAUUGUGGUAGGUAAUUAUAAUGGUGUCAAAUCACUAAGUCUUCUUCGUUGGUCACCAUUCUCUUGGUAUCUCUGAAGUUAUUUUUCUGUAUCUGCCUGGUAGUUUCCAGCUUUUCCCCUUGAUACUCCUGUAUAGGGGUCAGGUUUUUCUACUUCUUCCAGCUUUAUAUAUUUUUCGAAUAUUAAUUCUUGCCCAAUGGAUGACUUUUGUGUCCAUAUUCUUUUCUGCAUUGUCUGGUAAAACAGUGAAAGACACGUUUCAGUGGUGUGCCUUUGCUUUCACAAAGCCUCUUUAGAUGUAACAAUUACCUGUUUGUAUUUUAUGGCUCCUACUCCGAUGUCUUUCAUAAACAUCACUGCUUUGAUAUCCAUGAUCCCUUUAUCUCUUUUUACCCAAUUUCAAAAAGUUUUCCAUGUGAUGUUUUCACAUUAAGAGCUCUAUUAAUCCUGAAAGAUAAUCUCUGCCAUUUAUUAUUCCAGCUACUUCGGUUUUGCUCAUUAAAGGGUGUUACAAAUUCAGGUUUUAUCUAGUUGCCUAUGCUCUGUCCAGGCAGUAAAUCUUUAAAGUCAACUCUUUCCAAAAAAGGUCACCUCAUGUGGGUUUCAAAGGAAGUUUACCAUUUCUGUAUCUUCACCAUCAUAUUUAUUCUAGUCAGGAAAAAUUAUUGUAUUUAUGUCUUCCACAGCUGGAUUUGUUUUGGUCACAUAGGGGUCAUGAAUCUCUAUGUCAAGUUAUAGCUCCCUUCAAAUUAUAAUAUCUACUCUAUGUUCUUGUCUUCCCAGAAAUAUUGCCCUGAAAGCUACUGAAAUCUUCAGUUUCUACAUCCUUUGAAGUCAUAAUUUUUCUUGAGUGCUCCCCUCCACAAGCAAUAACUGGUGAUGAGAAUGACUAACAUUUUCUUAUCUAUAUUAUAGAAUGUAUUAUGCAUGCUAUAUUUUCCACCAUAGGUAAUAUUAUUAGAAAAUAAACAUUCUAAAUCAUGUCCUUUUAAUCCACAGCUUCUUGGUGCAUUGAAGAAGUUUUUCAUAUCAAUUUAUUACUGAAACUGAGUACCCAUAAGAGAUGUAAUCCAGUUCUAAGUCUUACAUAAUCUUAAGGACUUUAAUUGCAAAAAUAUCUGGUAUGGCUUAUUCACUCAUAAGGGUUUUAAAAAUCAUGAUAUAACUUUUCCAUGCCUAUACAUUUCUAACACACAACUACUCUAGCAAGAAAUUGAAUUCUCUGUAUUCACAGUCUCCCUGUUGUGGUUUUAAUACUGAAAUAAGUCAUCCAUCACUAUAUCUUUCCCUUGAUAUUGAUGCUCUUGACAAGAAAGUGAGGCUCAUCUUCUGUGUCCUCUCAUUCAAUGCAGGGUCCAUAGCUGUUAAUGCCUUCUGAAUCCAUUUCAUCAUGAGCUAGAGUUGCUUUGUAAAGCAAGAAGUUUUCCAUUAUUAUGUCUUCCCAAUCUGUAUCCGCUUAAAGAAAUUUUCCUGUUUCUCCUCUUUCAUAGGCUCAACAAAGUUGGUCAGAAAAAAGUUUCCACCUUUGGUCAAGAAAUAAGUUCUUUACCUUCAUGCUUUUUUGGCACCUUUGCUUUGAUAAUGUAAGAAGCAACUCCUUGUUUGUGCCUUUCAAAGACAAUCUGCUCUGGUUUUGAAAGUAAUCUUUAAACACUGUAUAUUAUAGCUUCCCCCAAGUAUAUGUAUGUGUAUGUGUGUGUGUGUGUGUGUGUGUGUGUGUGUGGUGUAUGUAUGUAUUUCAUUUUCACACUGUAUGUUUUGGCACUUUUUUCUUAUCCUGCCUGUAUCCAACCUAAGAAAGAUACUUACAAGUGUAGCAGAGAAUAUAUUGUAGUCAUAGUAAGACAAUGGCUAGAUCAGCAGCUACUUCUCUAAAAGGUGAGUGGAUCUCAGAAUCAGUCAUAGAAACCUUCCUUAAAAUGUCAGGAAUCCACUAGGGUACAAUGAAGCUUUCUAUGUGCAAAGUCAAUGUCUGCCUUGGAGAGAGGAUCUGCGGAUAUAUGUCUGUCUCAUUUCAGCCCUUUCAUCAGACCAAACAUACCAAGAAUACUUGGUAUGUAAAAACUUGUAAAAAGUCGCCUGUGGGUGAAAUACUCCUUUCAUAAGAAUACCAUGAGUGCUGGGGUUGGUGGUAUAAUCCUGUAAUCCUAGCACUAAAAUUAGAAAUCAGUUGUAUUACAGCCUAGCCUGGGUUGUAUGGUAAGAACUUGUCUUUAAAAAAAUCAUUAAUUUGUAUUACUUUUACUCAUAUUUGCUGUUCUUUAUUUGUAAUAUCCCUGGAAUCUCUGAACCUCAUUUGGCGCAACAUCAUGUCUUCGUAUACUCAAACUGAGGAAUACAUUUGGACAAUUGUAUCUGGAUUUUCCUCAGGCUUGGUGUUUGGUAUUUUUUUGUGUAGACCUCCACACUAUCAUUAUAGAACUGUCACGUAUUUGCUCUCUCAAGAGAAGCAGCCAGUCAACAAGCCGCUACAUUCCAACAACUUGUCUACGAACUGGCCACAAGCCAAAGUCCCAAUGACCAUCUGGACAUCAAGAAUCACUUCUUCAUAUUUCCGUAAAUGAUAGUUUGGCUGUGCUUGUAAUCCACGCUACUUGAGAGGCUGAGGUGGUUAGAAUUACUUGAGCCAAAGUGCUGAACUGACCAUCCUGAGCAAUAUAUAAUAUGACACCAUCUCAAAUCCAAAUCAACAAAACAGCAGAAAAUAAAUUCAAAGAUUUUCUGGUGAGCUUGCUGAGGAGAAAGAUUAUAUUGUUAAAUUUUAAGGGGUAAUGCCAUUGAUAUUUUAUAUUGAUGGUGUCUUAUUAGUUAAGCCAAAAAUAUAUCCAUUCUGAACAACAUACAUUCCUGUAUGAACUUUUGGGAUGGGUGAGGUACUUGUGUGAAUAUAUGUGAUGAGAUAGCAUUUGUGCCAAUUUAGACUGAUACUGUUAUUUUUAGUAUAAUGAUGGUGCAUUAUGUAACUUUUUUUUCAUUAAAUUGUGUAGGAUUGGUAGAUUGGGGUAUACAGUUAAGAUGGUGGACUAGAAGCUGCAUCUGAGCCAGUAGAUAAAAAAGUGCGAUGAUAAAAACAUAAAAAAUCCUAUUUAUAUACAAGAAAGACUAAAAUAAAUAAAGAAAACUAAGGCAAAGCCUGCAUUUCUCCACAGUAAAUGUGCCAGAUCCACAAGAAAUCAUUUGUGGUACUACCUGCUGACUGACAUCAGCUGUCGCAGCCAGCACUAUGUUCUCACAGGUGAUACCAUGAGAGCUCAAGAGAGAAGGUCUGGACUGUGUAAACACAAUUGGAUGGGUACAAAUUCUAUACACAAAACAGAACAGAGUAUUGUAGGUGUUGAAUGAGUAGCAGAAAUGUGAUUUAAAAAUCUGAAGUUGAUGAUUACUACACAUUAAUAAUAUCAGGCAUAAUCAGUGGGAGAUUUCACCAAUCUCUUCUUUAGGCACAUAAUUCAAACUAAAAACAAUCAAAGCAGCAGUACAAGUAAAUAACACUAUACUGCAAUUGCAUUUAAGAGAUACUUAAACUUUAGGCAGAAUGCAUGAAAUUUUAUGAAAGAAAGGUGAAAUUUUAUGAAAGAAGGGGGAGAUGAAAGACCUGGAGGGGACAGGAGCUCCAUGAGGAGAGCAACAGAACCAAAAAAUCUGGUCACAGGGGUCUUUUCUGAGAUUCAUACUCCAACCAAGGAACAUGUACAUGGAGAUAACCUAGAACCCCUGCUCAGAUGUAGCCUAUGGCAGCUCAGUCUCCAAGUGGGUUCCCUAGUAAGGAGAAUAGGAACUGCCUCUGACAUGAACUCAUUGGCUGGCUCUUUGAAAACCUCCCCUGGGGGGCAGGGUGCAGCCUUACAGGCCACAGAGGAAGAUAAUGCAGUUAGUCCUGACCUGAUAAGCUAGGGUCAGAUGGAAGAGGAAGAGGACCUCCCCUAUCAGUGGAUUAGGGGAGGGGCAUAGAGGAAGAAGAGGAAGGGAGGGUAAGAUUGGGAGGAGAUGAGGGAGGGAGUCACAGCCAGGAUAGAAAUUGAAUAAAUUGUAAUAAAUCAUAAUAAUUUCAAAAAGAGAAGAAAAAGGAGUAUUCUAUCCAACAAAAAGGGAAUAUAAUUAUUCCCUGCCUCACAUGGGCCUUCUCUAAAGCUAUUCACAUUAUAGGACACAAAGCAAAAUCAAAGCAAUAACAUUUCAUCAGAUAAUAGUAGACUAAAAGAAGCUACAUGAAUAUUUAAUGUUGUACAAUACAUUUUUGAGUGAACAGUGGGUCACUGAGGAAAUCAAGAAGAAAAGUUUUUGACAUUCUAUAAAUAAAUAAAAAUUAUGACAUAACCUACCAAAACUUAUGAGAAACACAAAAGCGUUCAUAAAGAUUAUAGUUCUAAAUACUUACAUUAAAAAAAUUAAUGGCUCACAAAUAAAUAACCUGAUUAUAUACCUCAAAGUUCUAGAAAAAGAAGAAAUUGAACUCAAAUGAUAUGACUGUUGAGAUAAUAAUACUCAGAAGCAAUCAAACAAAAAGUUAAUUCUUUGAAAAGAUAAGUAAGUUCAGAAAAAUCUAAAGAAAAGUAGACACCUUUAAUUCCAGCACUCUGGGAGGCAGAGGCAGGUGGAUCUCUGUGAGUCUGAGGCUAGCCUGGUCUACAAAGUGAGUCCAGGACAGCCAAGGCUAUACACAGAGUAACCAUGUCUCAAAAACAAAAGCAAGAAAAGUAGAUAAUAUAAAAAUAAAACUAUAAAUGAAAAAGAAGCUAUUUUAGCAGGCUCUUAUGAAAUCCAGAGGGACAUUAGGGAAUAUUUUGAAAACUUAUAGUCUAAAAAACUAGAAUACAGGGGCCAGGGAUGUAGCUCAGUGGUAGAGUCCUUGUCUGGCAUGCUCAGAAUUUGGAUUUGAUUCCUAGUAUUUUCAAAAACAGUAUCAAAAUGUUGGAAAACUUAAAAGAAAUGCAUACAUUCCCAAAUGCAUAUAACCUGCCAACACAAAUGCAAGGAGAUAUGCUAACUUCAAGAGAUGUAAAAUAAGCGAUGACAUUGAAGUCUUCCCACAUUGAAAAGUCAGUGGUUGGACAGAUUCACUACUGAAUUCUAAAAAUCUUUAAGGAAGUCUAGCACCAACACCCCUUCUUCCUCUUCUUCUUCUUCUUCUUCUUCUUCUUCUUCUUCUUCUUCUUCUUCUUCUUCUUCUUCUUCUUCUUCUCUUCUUUUUGAGACAGGGUUUCUCUGUGUAGGCUUGGCUGUCCUGGACUCACUUUGUAGAUCAGUCUGGGCUCGACUCACAGAGAUCCACCUGCCUCUGCCUCCCUGAGUGCUGGGAUUAUGGGUGUGUGCCACUGUGCUCAGCUGCAUCAGCACUUCUUAAACAUUUUCAUAAAAUAGAAAUAGAGGAGACCGCUUUAAACAUCUUCUGCAAAGCUGGUAUUAUCUUGAUCCCACAUUUUGCUGGAGAACAGAUGUAAACAUUCUCAACAUAAUUGUAAACCAAAUUCAAGAACACAUUAAGAACAUAUACCACCACCAAAUUGGUUUCAUACCAAGGAUGCAAGUUUGGCAUAAAGCAUGCAAAUCAGUAAAUGUAAUGCACUGUAUUAACAGACUUUAGUACAGAAUCAUAUGAUAAUUUCCAUAGAUAUAGAAAAGCCAUUUUCAAAGUUUAACAUGUGUUAAUGAUAAAAGUCAUGAAUCUAAUAAUCAAAGGAACAUAUUUCAACUCUAAAAAGGCUACAUAUGACAAACCCAUAUAUAGUCAAUAUAUUAAAUGGGGAAAAACCAAAACUAUUUACUCUAAAAUAUGGAAUAAGACAAGGGUGCCUACAAUUAUAGAGUGUAGUGUUUAAAGCCUUAGAGCAACAAGACAAGAGAAAAAAUAAAAGGGACAUACAUAAGGAAAAAAGUCAAAUCAAAUUAUCUGUACUUGCAAAUGACAUGAGCUUCUACUUAAAAGACCUUUAACAUUACAAAGACCUUUAGAUCUGACACUUUCAACACUCUUUGUUAGAAUAUAAAAUGAUGUGUUAUUGUAGAAAAUAUUAUGGUAAUUACUUAAAAUAAUUUUAAAAUUAUAUAAUCUAACAAUUCCAUCUGUGGGUAUUCACCCAAGAAGAUUGGAAACAAGAUCUUCAAGGAAAAAUCUGUAUAUCUUUAGUCAUAGAAGCUUUUAUUUACAACAGUAAAAAGGUAGAAAUAACUCACACAUCUAUCGGUAGAAUAGAAGAAUGUGGCAUAAAUAUGCAGUAGUAUCUUAUUUGCCCUUUCAAAGAGAAGGACAAUUUGCAGGUGCUACAAUCUGGAUAAACUUUGCAGGUACUGUGGUAAAGAAAAUAAGCUCACCACAAAAAAGUAAAAAUACCGAAUGAUUUCACUAAGAUGAGUAUAUGAAGUAGUCAAAUUCAUUAAAAAGGUAUUAAUAGAAUCAUGGUUACCAGAAUCAUGGUUUUAUUCACUGUUUUAAUGCUAUGAAGAGAAACUAUGAGCACAGCAGUUCUUAUAAAAAAACAUUUAAUUGGGGCUGACUUACAUUUUCAGAGGUUUAGUCUAUUAUCAGCAUGGUAGGAAGCAUAGCAUCCUGUAGGCAGACAUGGUGCUUGAGAGGAUCUGAACGUUGUCUGUCUAGAUCCAAAGGCAGAAGAGAGAGGGAGGUAGAGAGAAAGAGGGAGAAAGAGACAGAUAGACAGAGGAUAGAGAGACAGAGAGACAGAGACAGACAGACAGACAGACAGACACACACACACACACACACACACACACACACUGGGCCUGUUUUGGGUUCUUGAAACCUCAAAGCCCACCCCAACAUCCCCAGUGACACAGUUCCUCCAAGUUGGACAUACCUCCUAAUCUCUCUCCAGUAGUGCUACUCCUUAAUGACCAAGUAUUCAAAAAUAUGAGCCUAUGGAGUCCACUCCUUUUCAAAGCACCACAGUCGUGGUGAUAUUUUUUGUCAUUCUCCUCAUCCUCCUUCUCAUUAUUAUUCUUAUUGAUUUUCUUUUUACAGAGAAUAGAAAUUUACUUUUGCCACCUGAAGAAAUUCUAUAGCUGUUUGCCCAUAAUGUGAAUAUAGUUAUUGCUGCUAUGCACUUUAAAAUGUUAACGGUGUUUUAUACACACACAUUACAAUUCUCACUUACCCUAAACUUGGAGUGACUGGAAAAGUGGAUUAAAAAUCAAACUAUAUUGUUGUGUGACUUUUCCUUGGAGGAUAUAAAGAAAUGACAAUGCAUCCCACAAAGGGCAUCACUUGUAAACUAAAAUCCAAUCUUCAUCUAAGUUCAUAUUGAUGCAUCAGCCGAUCAGUUGCCAUUACCUAUAGGAACAUGGGUGAUUGGGAAGCUACAUCAUCAACAAAGUCCACUCCCAACAUGAAUGACCACUGCAUGAAUGAUUUGGGCAGCUGAUCCACUGAAAAAUCCUACUCCAGCUUGUGGGACCAGUCACAGGAAUUGCCUAACUGGAGUUCUGUCUGCAGUCAUACUUCCCCUUCCUAAGACCACAUACAGGCGAGAGGUAGGAAGUAGUAAGUAGUGGUGUAGUGGCAUUACUUCUAAGAGCUAAUGUUAACAAUCCAGUCUACAAUAAUCAUUAGAGACUUCUAUAUGCUUUUUGAUUCUUAGAGCUAGAAAGAAGAUAAUUAAAGAAAUUUAAAAUCUAAGCAACAGAGAAUCCUCUGCAGAGGAAUAUAGAAUGGGAGAGAAACACCUAAAGAAAUGCUCGACAUCCUUAGCCAUCAGAGAUAUGCAAAUCGAAAUGACCCCGAGAUUUCACCUUUAGAAUGGCAAAGGUUAAAAACUCAAGUGACAACACAUGCUGGAGAAGCUGUAGAUAAAGGGGAACCCUCCUCCAUUGCUGGUGGGAAUGCAAACUUGUACAACCACUUUGGAAAUCAAUCUGGUGCUUCCUCAGACAAUUAGGAAUAGUGCUUCCUCAAGAUCCAGUUAUACCACUCCUAGGCAUAUAGCCAAAACAUGCUCAAGUACACAACAAGGACAUUUGCUCAACCAUGUUUGUAGCAGUUUUAUCUGUAAUAGCCAGAACCUGGAAACAACCCAGAUGUCCCUCCGUUGAGGAAUGGAUACAGAAAUUGGGGUACUUUUACACAAUGGAAUACUACUCAGCAGUUAAAAACAAGGAAAUCAUGAAAUUUGCAGGCAAAUGGUGGGAUCUAGAAAAGAUGAUCCUGAGUGAGGUAUCCCAGGAGCAGAAAGACACACAUGGUAUAUACUCACUUAUAUAGUCCUAUAAGAUAAGAUAAACAUACUAAAAUAUGUGCACCUAAAGAAGAUAAACAAGAAAGAGAACCCGGGGUAAGAUGAUCAAUCCUCAUUUAGAAAGACAAAUGGGAUGGACAUGGGAAGUAGGAGAAGACAAAAAAUAGGACAGGAGCCUACCACAGAGGGCCUCUGAAAGACUCUACCUAGCAGUGUAUCAAAGCAGAUGCUAAGACUCAUAACUAAAUCUUCGGUAGAGUGCAGGGAAUCAUAUGAUAAAAGGGGGAGUUAGUAUGAAUGGGAGAGGACAGGAGCUCCACAAGGACAAAAUCUAUCAGGGUGCGGGGGUCCUCUAUGAGACUGUUUCUCCAACCAAGGAUCACGUAUGUAUACAACCUAGAACCCCUGCUCGGAUGUAGCCCAUGGUAAUUCAGUAUCCAAGUGGGUUUUCCUAGUAAAGGGAACAGGAACAAUUUCUGACAUGAACUCAAUGACUGGCUCCUUUACUCCCCCUCCCUGCUGAGGGAGGAACAGCCUUGCUAGGCCACAGAGGAGGACAUUGCAGCCAUUCCUUAAGAUACCCUGAUAGGCUAGGGUCAGAUGGAAGGGGAGGAGGUCCUCCCCUA